rnacentral:misc_RNA from 1 species
UGGCUCUCGCAUCGAUGAAGAACGCAGCGAAAUGCGAUAAGUAAUGUGAAUUGCAGAAUUCAGUGAAUCAUCGAAUCUUUGAACGCAACUUGCGCUCCUUGGUAUUCCUUGGAGCAUGCCUGUUUGAGUAUCAUGAAUUUCUCAAGUCCCCAGAGCUUUGGCACUGGUGGAUUUGGACUUGGAGGUUGCUGAUCAACAGCUCCUCUCAAAUGUAUUAGCUGGAACCUUGUGUGUAUUACCGGUGUGAUAAUAUCUACUCCGUUUGAUCACAAAGUGGGAUCUGCUUCUAACAGUCCAUUUGAUGGACAACUCAUGACAUCUGAUCUCAAAUCAGGUAGGACUACCCGCUGA